GCUCAGGAUGAACGCUGGCGGCGUGCUUAACACAUGCAAGUCGAACGCUGAAGCUCCAGCUUGCUGGGGUGGAUGAGUGGCGAACGGGUGAGUAACACGUGAGUAACCUUCCCUUGACUCUGGGAUAAGCCCGGGAAACUGGGUCUAAUACCGGAUAUGACCUCCUGUCGCAUGGUGGGGGGUGGAAAGAUUUAUCGGUCUUGGAUGGACUCGCGGCCUAUCAGCUUGUUGGUGAGGUAAUGGCUCACCAAGGCGACGACGGGUAGCCGGCCUGAGAGGGUGACCGGCCACACUGGGACUGAGACACGGCCCAGACUCCUACGGGAGGCAGCAGUGGGGAAUAUUGCACAAUGGGCGCAAGCCUGAUGCAGCGACGCCGCGUGAGGGAUGACGGCCUUCGGGUUGUAAACCUCUUUCAGUAGGGAAGAAGCCUUCGGGUGACGGUACCUGCAGAAGAAGCGCCGGCUAACUACGUGCCAGCAGCCGCGGUAAUACGUAGGGCGCGAGCGUUAUCCGGAAUUAUUGGGCGUAAAGAGCUCGUAGGCGGUUUGUCGCGUCUGCCGUGAAAGUCCGGGGCUUAACCCCGGAUCUGCGGUGGGUACGGGCAGACUAGAGUGCAGUAGGGGAGACCGGAAUUCCUGGUGUAGCGGUGAAAUGCGCAGAUAUCAGGAGGAACACCGAUGGCGAAGGCAGGUCUCUGGGCUGUUACUGACGCUGAGGAGCGAAAGCAUGGGGAGCGAACAGGAUUAGAUACCCUGGUAGUCCAUGCCGUAAACGUUGGGCACUAGGUGUGGGGGACAUUCCACGUUUUCCGCGCCGCAGCUAACGCAUUAAGUGCCCCGCC
rnacentral:rRNA from 1 species